AGCAGCGUGGCGCAGUGGAAGCGUGCUGGGCCCAUAACCCAGAGGUCGGUGGAUCGAAACCACUC
rnacentral:tRNA from 1 species